AAAGGUGUCAUUUACUGUUUUUUAGUUAUUUGCUGUAUUUUGAAACCACACCGACACCGGUGGUGCUUAGAGCCCUUUCGUCGGCUAUUGAUUGUGGUCUUCUCGUCCUUCGCCCGUAGCAGGAACCUACAGGCAACCACUUGGAACAAACAUGGCUAUGAAAACAACAUGGCCUGAGUUAGUAGGCCUAACUGCAGAUGAAGCAGAGAAGAAAAUCAAAGAAGAGAGACCAGCUGUACAAGUUCAGGUAGUUCCUUCAAAUUCCAUUGUCACUAUGGAUUUCAAACAGAAUCGGGUUCGUCUGUAUGUUGAUUCCUCUAGAAAAGUUGAAAGGGCCCCAAAAAUUGGGUAAUAAGUUAUCAAUUCAACAACCAUCUGUCUUGUUGGAAUAAAAUAGAUUGAAAGUUGAGAGUUGGUGAAUUUAUGUUGUCAUUUUCUAAGAAAGAUGUUAAAUUUGAAAUAACCUCACUUGUUUCUUGAUUUGUAUGUUGAUCUUCCCUUUGUCAACUAUUAAAAUUGCUAGUUUCUAAAGGUCUUUGUAACAUUAUUUAACAUAAUAUUGUUACAUGAAUGUUGUUUC